GACGAACGCUGGCGGCGUGCUUAACACAUGCAAGUCGAACGGAAAGGCCCUGCUUUUGUGGGGUACUCGAGUGGCGAACGGGUGAGUUACCCGUGAGUAACCUUCCCUUGACUUCUGGGUAACUUCAGGAAACUGGGGCUAAUACCCGAUAAGCUCUUCCGCUGCAUGGUGGGGGUGGUGAAGUUUCGGCGGUUGGGGAUGGUCACACGGCUUAUCGCCUUGUUGGUGGUGGAGUGGCUUACCACGGCUUUGCCGGGUAGCCGGCCUGAGAGGGUGACCGGCGCCAUGGGGACUGAGAUACGGCGCAGACGCCUACGGGAGGCAGCAGUGGGGAAUAUUGCACAAUGGGCGGAAGCGUGAUGCAGCAACGCCGCGUGCGGGAUGAUGGCCUUCGGGUUGUAAACCGCUUUCGCCGGAGACGAAGCGUGAGUGACGGUAAUGGGUAAAGAAGCACCGGCUAACUACGUG
rnacentral:rRNA from 1 species